rnacentral:misc_RNA from 1 species
AUCGCAAAUCUUUUAGAUAAACCUUUUAAAGAAUUAGAAGGCGUUGUAGAUUGCAAUGUGUGAUUUGAUCUUUAAGAUCUCUAUGUUGGUGCAAUUAUACCUUGUGUAGUUUUCGUAGUGUCUUUGCAGACAGAGUGCCGCAGCUUUUUCUAAAAUUGACUAAUUAAUCAGGCUAGUUAUGAAUAGCUAGUUUUCGAAAUGUUUUUGCGCAUGUAUAGGAAUAGUUACAUGAUUACCAUUAUAUGUGUGCAUUCACAUCUGUGCUAACAUACAGAAGGGGACAUAAGGAACUAUUUCUUGUCUUAUUGUCAUGAGGGGUCAAAUCCGUAGCACCUGCCAGUGUUGUUUAACAGUUUAUCAACUAAAAGCAUGCUGGAAAAUAAGGAUUAGCCAUUGAUUAUUGGGUGUUAAUCAUGUAAGUCUAUUGAUCCGUUGGCAGGAUUAUGUUCCAGAGGA